AACGAACUCUGGUAUUGAUUGGUGCUUGCAUCAUGAUUUACAUUUGAGUGAGUGGCGAACUGGUGAGUAACACGUGGGAAACCUGCCCAGAAGCGGGGGAUAACACCUGGAAACAGAUGCUAAUACCGCAUAACAACUUGGACCGCAUGGUCCGAGUUUGAAAGAUGGCUUCGGCUAUCACUUUUGGAUGGUCCCGCGGCGUAUUAGCUAGAUGGUGAGGUAACGGCUCACCAUGGCAAUGAUACGUAGCCGACCUGAGAGGGUAAUCGGCCACAUUGGGACUGAGACACGGCCCAAACUCCUACGGGAGGCAGCAGUAGGGAAUCUUCCACAAUGGACGAAAGUCUGAUGGAGCAACGCCGCGUGAGUGAAGAAGGGUUUCGGCUCGUAAAACUCUGUUGUUAAAGAAGAACAUAUCUGAGAGUAACUGUUCAGGUAUUGACGGUAUUUAACCAGAAAGCCACGGCUAACUACGUGCCAGCAGCCGCGGUAAUACGUAGGUGGCAAGCGUUGUCCGGAUUUAUUGGGCGUAAAGCGAGCGCAGGCGGUUUUUUAAGUCUGAUGUGAAAGCCUUCGGCUCAACCGAAGAAGUGCAUCGGAAACUGGGAAACUUGAGUGCAGAAGAGGACAGUGGAACUCCAUGUGUAGCGGUGAAAUGCGUAGAUAUAUGGAAGAACACCAGUGGCGAAGGCGGCUGUCUGGUCUGUAACUGACGCUGAGGCUCGAAAGUAUGGGUAGCAAACAGGAUUAGAUACCCUGGUAGUCCAUACCGUAAACGAUGAAUGCUAAGUGUUGGAGGGUUUCCGCCCUUCAGUGCUGCAGCUAACGCAUUAAGCAUUCCGCCUGGGGAGUACGGCCGCAAGGCUGAAACUCAAAGGAAUUGACGGGGGCCCGCACAAGCGGUGGAGCAUGUGGUUUAAUUCGAAGCUACGCGAAGAACCUUACCAGGUCUUGACAUACUAUGCAAAUCUAAGAGAUUAGACGUUCCCUUCGGGGACAUGGAUACAGGUGGUGCAUGGUUGUCGUCAGCUCGUGUCGUGAGAUGUUGGGUUAAGUCCCGCAACGAGCGCAACCCUUAUUAUCAGUUGCCAGCAUUAAGUUGGGCACUCUGGUGAGACUGCCGGUGACAAACCGGAGGAAGGUGGGGAUGACGUCAAAUCAUCAUGCCCCUUAUGACCUGGGCUACACACGUGCUACAAUGGAUGGUACAACGAGUUGCGAACUCGCGAGAGUAAGCUAAUCUCUUAAAGCCAUUCUCAGUUCGGAUUGUAGGCUGCAACUCGCCUACAUGAAGUCGGAAUCGCUAGUAAUCGCGGAUCAGCAUGCCGCGGUGAAUACGUUCCCGGGCCUUGUACACACCGCCCGUCACACCAUGAGAGUUUGUAACACCCAAAG
rnacentral:rRNA from 1 species